rnacentral:rRNA from 1 species
GACGGGGACAACAGUUGGAAACGACUGCUAAUACCCGAUAUGCCUUCCAAGUUGAAAGGGAGCAAUCCGCCUGAAGAUGAGCUUGCGUCCGAUUAGCUAGUUGGUGGGGUAAAGGCUCACCAAGGCGACGAUCGGUAGCUGGUCUGAGAGGAUGACCAUCCACACUGGGACUGAGACACGGUCCAGACUCCUACGGGAGGCAGCAGUGAGGAAUUUUCCGCAAUGGGCGCAAGCCUGACGGAGUCAUACCGCGUGAGGGAAGACGCUCUUUGGAGUGUAAACCUCUUUUGAUAGGGAAGAAGACAAUGACGGUACCUAUCGAAUCAGCCUCGGCUAACUCCGUGCCAGCAGCCGCGGUAAUACGGAGGAGGCAAGCGUUAUCCGGAAUUAUUGGGCGUAAAGGGUUUGUAGAUGGUUAGAUGUGUCUGCUGUUAAAGCCAGUCGCUUAACGAUUGAGAUGCAGCAGAAACUAUCAAACUUGAGGACAGUAUGGGCAGAGGGAAUCCCCUGAGUAUCGGUGAAAUGCGUAUAUCUUGGGAAGAACACCGGUAGCGAAAGCGCUCUGCUGGGCUGUACCUGACAUUAAUGUACGAUAGCUAGGGGAGCGAAACGGAUUAGAUACCCGUGUAGUCCUAGCCGUAAACGAUGGAUACUCGAUGUUGCCUGACGACCU